rnacentral:rRNA from 1 species
UGGGCUUGACAUGUCCUGAAUUCUGCAGAGAUGCGGGAGUGCCCUUCGGGGAAUCGGAACAC